CAAUAGCGUAUAUUUAAGUUGCUGCAGUUAAAAAGCUCGUGUUGGAUUUCGGGUGGGAAUGGCCGGUCCGCCGUUUCGGUGUGCACUUGCUACGCCCACCUUGCUGCCGGGGACGUGCUCUUGAGUUCACGCUCGGGACACGGAGUCGGCGAGGUUACUUUGAGUAAAUUAGAGUGUUCAAAGCAGGCCUACGCUCUGAAUACAUUAGCAUGGAAUAACACGAUAGGACUCUGGCCUAUCUUGUUGGUCUGUAGGACCGGAGUAAUGAUUAAGAGGGACAGUCGGGGGCAUUCGUAUUUCAUUGUCAGAGGUGAAAUUCUUGGAUUUAUGAAAGACGAACUACUGCGAAAGCAUUUGCCAAGGAUGUUUUCAUUAA
rnacentral:rRNA from 1 species